AUUAAAAGCGUUCUUUACUGUUGACCAGGUUGGAAGUAUUUUUUACUUUGUCCGAUUUCGUUAGUUGAUUCUUAUGUAAAAAUCACCUUUUUCCGCGUUUGAUAGGAAGGAAAAGUUCGAAACCUAUCCGAAAUGCAAUCAAAGAAGCAGCAAUAUACAUUUGUGUCGAAGAAGCCGGCAGAAAGGUUGGCCGAGACACGUGACAUCCAGCGGGGAUGUAUCUGUCUGCGACCAAAGACGAACGUAAUUUGUGUUUUCUGUCCGUACAAAGGGGUCGGAAGGGUCCAGAGAACAUGCCCGGUCCAUCGGCAUAUUGUUUACCUGAUGGACUUCCAGUAUUGCCCUAAUUGCAGAAGCAGCUACACUAUGCUCAGAGAAGUAUAGCAUAGGCUGGAACUAUGAUUCGAAUAUGUGAAAACGUUCAUUGUUUUGUUUUAUUUUGAACUUGAUGAAUAAAACGAUCGAAAUUA